AAUGGCGGCAGAACCGAUCAUCAUCACGGGAGCAAGAAGACGUGCAACAACCGAUAGGUCACGACCGACGGGGAAAAUUCGUUUUCUAGAACGCAGACAGGAUGUGUCGAAAUUUGUAAGUGCGCUGUCGUCGCUGGAGCGUGAAACGCCAUCCUCUCUACGUGGUGUGUAAAUACACAUUUUUGACGGUUUCCCAGGUGAAAGAUGUCCUCGUCGAGCGAAACAAAACGUGGGUUCCUGUAACGUUAUACGGGCAGCUGCAUUAUCCACGACGAAGACAUGUUCUUUAAUAAAACGAUUCAUUUAAUUUCGUCUUGAGAUAUACCAGCAGGUAGGGCUGACUCAUUUCUAAUUUUCUUUACGGCAUCGCAUUGCAGUGGUCGAAACAUCUGUUGAAGGAAGCGAGAAACACCAUUUUAUAUUAGUUUAUUACGUAGUCAAAUGAAUGGCCAUCGUUCCAAAGAGGAAAAGAGAUUCUAUUCAAUUAAAGACACACAUUCAACGACCCCUUAUAUGUGGUACAGCAGUCAUUUGUGAAUUUUCUCUAACUGAACUCAAUUGACUGUGCAAUAAGUGACGCAAAUGACUUUUGACUAUUUCUAUCGUCGAUUUCAUGUUUUGGAAGGACACAUAAAAUACCUGUGAAAUCCGUUGGACGUCUUCGAUACCUCCUGCUGUGACCUAAAUCCGGGUCUCUUCACCAGUUACACGCAUCGACCAAGUGAGAAGAUAACGAGAUCACGGUGUUAUAUCUCUGCUGCUUCCACCGCAGACCCUAUUGAAUUCUCAAUGGAAUCUUAAAUCAAAAUAAAUUAUAAUAGAUGCUG